rnacentral:rRNA from 1 species
CCUCUGGUGGACCUGUUGUCGUGCCAACGGCACAGCAGGGUAGCUAUGUGCGGACGGGAUAACCGCUGAAGGCAUCUAAGCGGGAAACCCACCUCAAAACAAGUUCUCCCUUGAGAGCCGUGGAAGACCACCACGUUGAUAGGCCGGGUGUGGAAGCGCUGCAAGGCGUGUAGCUUACCGGUACUAAUAGCUCGAUCGACUUGAUUACUCUCAUU